rnacentral:rRNA from 1 species
GAUGAACGCUGGCGGCGUGCUUAACACAUGCAAGUCGAACGGAAAGGCUCCUGCUUGCAGGGGUUCUCGAGUGGCGAACGGGUGAGUAACACGUGGGUGAUCUGCCCUGCACUUCGGGAUAAGCCUGGGAAACUGGGUCUAAUACCGGAUAGGACGAUGGUUUGGAUGCCAUUGUGGAAAGUUUUUUCGGUGUGGGAUGAGCUCGCGGCCUAUCAGCUCGUUGGUGGGGUAAUGGCCUACCAAGGCGUCGACGGGUAGCCGGCCUGAGAGGGUGUACGGCCACAUUGGGACUGAGAUACGGCGCAGACGCCUACGGGAGGCAGCAGGGGGGAAUAUUGCACAAUGGGCGCAAGCCUGAUGCAGCGACGCCGCGUGGGGGAUGACGGCCUUCGGGUUGUAAACACCUUUCGCUAGGGACGAAGCGCAAGUGACGGUACCUGGAGAAGAAGCACCGGCUAACUACGUG